AAAAUAUUCGGCUGCAGGUUCAUGUAUUUUUCCUACCAAAAUGGCUGGUCCAGGACUUAGAAAAAUCUCAUUAACGUGUUGGAGAACUGCCUUGCUUCAGGCAGCCUACGUCCUUAGCCUGAGUCUACCUGCGUCCCCUGCCUGAUUCUGCCUGCGUCUCAUGUCGCAAGCUGUCUGCGUCCCUUGCCAAAUCCACCUGCGUCAUUUACCGCAAGCUGUUCCAUCCCGCUAAAACACGUUACCCGCGCUAUUUUGUGGUUGCUACCGAGAUGGAUCGGUCGUGACCGUGUGGAGCGUAAGUGACCGCUCUAAUUCAAAUUUGAAAAUAGUGGCUGAAAUGCGAAUACUUUCUGUGCACAAGAAUUUUAGCCGCUUAAGGGGCCAAUUGGAUGGAUUAAUUUGCUAAGAUCCUCACCCUUUUUUUCUCAUUUAUAUAUGAGUUACUCAAUUUUAUUUUGUUUUAAAUUCGUUGCUGAAAUUUUGAUUAAUUUCAUUUCAAUUUGACCAUUAAUAACAACUUUAUUACAAAUUUUAGGAUCUAUUUGGCAUGACUUUUGAGAAAGUUAAAAGGAACUUCUGAGAUCCAAAACGCUUUUAGAUCCGUUUAACUAAUUUUUUGUAAGUGUUUUUUCUAGUUAGAAGAACUUUUACAAAAAGACGAUUCAAUGUCUUCCUAUAAAAAUACUUUCGAAAUAAGAAGUUUUUUUAAAAAGUAAGCUUUCAAACAAAAAUUAAGGGAAUUUUCUCAAUAAGCUCUUCUACAUAAAGCAAAAAUAAAAGACAUGCGAAUAGGUUCUUAAUAUCCUUGGAUGUUAUUUUGGCUCAUUGGCAAUCCAAUUGGGCAAUAAUCACAUCUUUUAGCCCCCUUUUGACCCCAAUUAAUUUUCAUUCCAUUAAAUUUCAUUUUUCUCUCCUAUUUUCAACCACACAAUUUUCAAAUAAAUAAUAUUAUACAUAAACAGAAA
rnacentral:lncRNA from 1 species